rnacentral:rRNA from 1 species
CCUACGGGAGGCAGCAGUGAGGAAUAUUGGUCAAUGGACGAGAGUCUGAACCAGCCAAGCCGCGUGAAGGAUGAAGGCCCUAUGGGUUGUAAACUUCUUUUAUAAGGGAAUAAAACGAGGCACGCGUGCCUUUAUGCAGGUACUUUAUGAAUACGGAUCGGCUAACUCCGUGCCAGCAGCCGCGGUAAUACGGAGGAUCCGAGCGUUAUCCGGAUUUAUUGGGUUUAAAGGGAGCGUAGGUGGGUUGUUAAGUCAGUGGUGAAAGUUUGCGGCUCAACCGUCAAAUUGCGAUUGAUACUGGCAGUCUUGAGUGCAGGUGAGGUAGGCGGAAUUCGUGGUGUAGCGGUGAAAUGCUUAGAUAUCGCGCAGAACCCCGAUUGCGAAGGCAGCUUACUGGACUGUGACUGACGUUGAGGCUCGAAAGUGUGGGUAUCAAACAGGAUUAGAUACCCUUGUAGUC